rnacentral:rRNA from 1 species
AAAUUGAAGAGUUUGAUCAUGGCUCAGAUUGAACGCUGGCGGCAGGCCUAACACAUGCAAGUCGAACGGUAACAGGAAGAAGCUUGCUUCUUUGCUGACGAGUGGCGGACGGGUGAGUAAUGUCUGGGAAACUGCCUGAUGGAGGGGGAUAACUACUGGAAACGGUAGCUAAUACCGCAUAACGUCGCAAGACCAAAGAGGGGGACCUUCGGGCCUCUUGCCAUCGGAUGUGCCCAGAUGGGAUUAGCUUGUUGGUGGGGUAACGGCUCACCAAGGCGACGAUCCCUAGCUGGUCUGAGAGGAUGACCAGCCACACUGGAACUGAGACACGGUCCAGACUCCUACGGGAGGCAGCAGUGGGGAAUAUUGCACAAUGGGCGCAAGCCUGAUGCAGCCAUGCCGCGUGUAUGAAGAAGGCCUUCGGGUUGUAAAGUACUUUCAGCGGGGAGGAAGGGAGUAAAGUUAAUACCUUUACUCAUUGACGUUACCCGCAGAAGAAGCACCGGCUAACUCCGUGCCAGCAGCCGCGGUAAUACGGAGGGUGCAAGCGUUAAUCGGAAUUACUGGGCGUAAAGCGCACGCAGGCGGUUUGUUAAGUCAGAUGUGAAAUCCCCGGGCUCAACCUGGGAACUGCAUCUGAUACUGGCAAGCUUGAGUCUCGUAGAGGGGGGUAGAAUUCCAGGUGUAGCGGUGAAAUGCGUAGAGAUCUGGAGGAAUACCGGUGGCGAAGGCGGCCCCCUGGACGAAGACUGACGCUCAGGUGCGAAAGCGUGGGGAGCAAACAGGAUUAGAUACCCUGGUAGUCCACGCCGUAAACGAUGUCGACUUGGAGGUUGUGCCCUUGAGGCGUGGCUUCCGGAGCUAACGCGUUAAGUCGACCGCCUGGGGAGUACGGCCGCAAGGUUAAAACUCAAAUGAAUUGACGGGGGCCCGCACAAGCGGUGGAGCAUGUGGUUUAAUUCGAUGCAACGCGAAGAACCUUACCUGGUCUUGACAUCCACGGAAGUUUUCAGAGAUGAGAAUGUGCCUUCGGGAACCGUGAGACAGGUGCUGCAUGGCUGUCGUCAGCUCGUGUUGUGAAAUGUUGGGUUAAGUCCCGCAACGAGCGCAACCCUUAUCCUUUGUUGCCAGCGGUCCGGCCGGGAACUCAAAGGAGACUGCCAGUGAUAAACUGGAGGAAGGUGGGGAUGACGUCAAGUCAUCAUGGCCCUUACGACCAGGGCUACACACGUGCUACAAUGGCGCAUACAAAGAGAAGCGACCUCGCGAGAGCAAGCGGACCUCAUAAAGUGCGUCGUAGUCCGGAUUGGAGUCUGCAACUCGACUCCAUGAAGUCGGAAUCGCUAGUAAUCGUGGAUCAGAAUGCCACGGUGAAUACGUUCCCGGGCCUUGUACACACCGCCCGUCACACCAUGGGAGUGGGUUGCAAAAGAAGUAGGUAGCUUAACCUUCGGGAGGGCGCUUACCACUUUGUGAUUCAUGACUGGGGUGAAGUCGUAACAAGGUAACCGUAGGGGAACCUGCGGUUGGAUCACCUCCUUACCUUAAAGAAGC